UACGAGGGGGGCUAGCGUUGUUCGGAAUUACUGGGCGUAAAGCGCACGUAGGCGGAUUUGCCAGUCAGGGGUGAAAUCCCGGGGCUCAACCUCGGAACUGCCUCUGAUACAGCAAGUCUUGAGUCCGGAAGAGGUGGGUGGAAUUCCUAGUGUAGAGGUGAAAUUCGUAGAUAUUAGGAAGAACACCAGUGGCGAAGGCGGCCCACUGGUCCGGUACUGACGCUGAGGUGCGAAAGCGUGGGGAGCAAACAGG
rnacentral:rRNA from 1 species